GCUUACGGCCACACCUCCCUCAGCACGCCUGAUCUCGGAAGCUAAGCAGGGUCGGGCCUGGUUAGUACUUGGAUGGGAGACCUCCUGGGAAUACCAGGUGUGCUGUAAGCC
ensembl:rRNA 5S_rRNA 5S ribosomal RNA